rnacentral:rRNA from 1 species
UACGUAGGGUGCAAGCGUUAAUCGGGAAUUACUGGGCGUAAAGCGUGCGCAGGCGGUUUUGUAAGUCUGUCGUGAAAUCCCCGGGCUCAACCUGGGAAUUGCGAUGGAGACUGCAAGGCUAGAAUCUGGCAGAGGGGGGUAGAAUUCCACGUGUAGCAGUGGAAAUGCGUAGAGAUGUGGAGGAACACCGAUGGCGAAGGCAGCCCCCUGGGGUCAAGAUUGACGCUCAUGCACGAAAGCGUGGGGAGCAAACAAGGAUAGAGUACCCCUGU